rnacentral:rRNA from 2 species
UACGUAGGGUGCGAGCGUUGUCCGGAAUUAUUGGGCGUAAAGAGCUUGUAGGCGGUUUGUCGCGUCUGCUGUGAAAAUCCGAGGCUCAACCUCGGACUUGCAGUGGGUACGGGCAGACUAGAGUGUGGUAGGGGAGACUGGAAUUCCUGGUGUAGCGGUGAAAUGCGCAGAUAUCAGGAGGAACACCGAUGGCGAAGGCAGGUCUCUGGGCCACUACUGACGCUGAGAAGCGAAAGCAUGGGGAGCGAACAGG